CCAGACUCUCGUCGGUGAUGGCCAUUAUUUGCUGGAGGAUAUCCCCGAUGUCUUGUUGGGGCUGGCCGAGGGAUUGCUGUUUUCGAACCGAGUCCGGGUCCCCCACGUCGCCCGGCUGUAGUCCGCCAAGUCCGCGCCGUGGUUCAGCUGGUAAAGCAGUUCUGAGGUCCCGGGUUCAAUCCCGGACCCACAUUUGUGGAGUUUGCAUGUUCCCCGAGUGUCUACGUGGGUUUUCUCCGGUGAGCUGCGAGCAGACAAAAUCGCCCAUCUGAUAAUGCCAAAGUGGUUACAUUCCCAUCACGCAAAAGACAACGCACCCCAAAAGCAAAACAGAAGAGAAUCAGUCUUCCUCCAGCAAGCGACCAAAACAUCGCAUCAGUUUCCAGUUUGAAAAUGAUGACAGCACAGAUUGAAAAACUGGUGUCCUCGUGUCCCGUUUUUUUUUUUUUUUUUUGCAAACUGGGCAAUUCUGCUGCAGUUUAUCACUCAGAUCAGAGAGACGGCCUUCCAAGACGAAUGGCUGCAUGGACGCGGGUGUGAAAGGAAAGGCCGAUGCAGCGGGCCCGGAUGUGCUGAGGAGAUGAUGGGUGUGCAUAUGAGGCAGGAGCAACCAAACCGGCGCCACUUUUAUGCUGACGCUCCGCACAUCAGUCCGCAGCAAUCUGGGCCUAAUCAAUCUCAAACCGGAGAGAGCGAGAAUAAGGAAAGGGGGUUGGGGGGGGACGCUAAUAGCGCUAAUAGUACAGUCGUACAAAUAAAGUUGAACGCUCCUGAUGUCGUAGCAUUCUGAAUACAACUGUGACAAUAAUUUUAUCCAGGACUGAUUGUACUGUUUUAUUUU